ACACUCCUGCGGGAGGCAGCAGUGGGGAAUUUUGGACAAUGGGCGAAAGCCUGAUCCAGCAAUGCCGCGUGAGUGAAGAAGGCCUUCGGGUUGUAAAGCUCUUUUGUCAGGGAAGAAACGGUGAAAGCUAAUAUCUUUUGCUAAUGACGGUACCUGAAGAAUAAGCACCGGCUAACUACGUGCCAGCAGCCGCGGUAAUACGUAGGGUGCAAGCGUUAAUCGGAAUUACUGGGCGUAAAGCGUGCGCAGGCGGUUUUGUAAGUCUGAUGUGAAAUCCCCGGGCUCAACCUGGGAAUUGCAUUGGAGACUGCAAGGCUAGAAUCUGGCAGAGGGGGGUAGAAUUCCACGUGGAGCAGUGAAAUGCGUAGAUAUGUGGAGGAACACCGAUGGCGAAGGCAGCCCCCUGGGUCAAGAUUGACGCUCAUGCACGAAAGCGUGGGGAGCAAACAGGAUUAGAAACCCGGGUAGUCCC
rnacentral:rRNA from 1 species